UACAGAGGUCUCAAGCGUUGUUCGGAUUCAUUGGGCGUAAAGGGUGCGUAGGCGGCGCGGUAAGUCGGGUGUGAAAUCUCGGAGCUUAACUCCGAAACUGCAUUCGAUACUGCCGUGCUUGAGGACUGGAGAGGAGACUGGAAUUUACGGUGUAGCGGUGAAAUGCGUAGAUAUCGUGAGGAAGACCAGUGGCGAAGGCGGGUCUCUGGACAGUUCCUGACACUGAGGCACGAAGGCCAGGGGAGCAAAACGGG
rnacentral:rRNA from 1 species